GCCCAGAUUAAAGCUCAGUUGUUAGAGCAUAAGACUCUUGAUUUCAGGGUUGUGGGUUCGAGCUUCACGUUGGGCA